CUCGUUUGCCACCCAUUUUCAUCCGGAGGAGUAAUAUCCAUUUGUGGUUGUAAACAGAAAGGCCAAAGCGCGGCUUGGUACAAAAAUGUUGUAAUGAUUGUUAAUCUUCAGUUAAGGCUUUAUGCUCAAGAUCAUGUUUUACAGUUCAAGAAAGAAUAUUUUUCAGUGAGCCAUUUCAGAAGCCAGAAAGCUGGGGUUUUUUGCUUGGGUUGAAACUUGUUUUAUUGUAAAUUUGAUUAGCGAGGACUUUCAUAGAUAAAAGUUGUCUUUGUCAUACCAUGAAAAGGAGAGUGAAAAAGUUCUGGCACAUUGAUUGAAAAAGUGAUCCUGUAUAUAUAUUUCUCAACAAGAAAUGUAGUUAUGAUUUUGAUCUAUACAAACUAAUUUACUCUGUGUCCUUUGAUAAAAGUUUAUAAUGUUGAUUUAAAAUAAAGAAUAUCUGAAUUA